GACGAAGGGGGCAAGCGUUGUUCGGAAUUACUGGGCGUAAAGCGCGUGUAGGCGGCUAAGUAAGUCGGGCGUGAAAUCCCACGGCUCAACCGUGGAAGUGCACUCGAAACUGCAUAGCUAGAGUCCUGGAGAGGAAGGUGGAAUGCUUGGUGUAGAGGUGAAAUUCGUAGAUAUCAAGCGGAACACCGGUGGCGAAGGCGGCCUUCUGGACAGUGACUGACGCUGAGACGCGAAAGCCAGGGGAGCAAACGGG
rnacentral:rRNA from 1 species